UCCCUGGUGGCUCAGAUGGUAUAGAAUCUGCCUGCAAUGCAGGAAACCUGGGUUCAGUCCCUAGACUGGGAA
rnacentral:tRNA from 1 species